rnacentral:rRNA from 1 species
GUCUACGGCCAUACCACCCUGAACGCGCCCGAUCUCGUCUGAUCUCGGAAGCUAAGCAGGGUCGGGCCUGGUUAGUACUUGGAUGGGAGACCUAUCUUCUAGAGUGGUUGUGAGGGUC